rnacentral:lncRNA from 1 species
AGCUUUGGCUAUAAAAGGAGAGCUUCAACUCUCAUUUCAAUACACCAACAAAGAGAGAAAGAAAGAGUGAGGUUUCACAGACAAGGUAUAAGAAAAUAGUCUGUGAGGAAAAUAGAGAGUGAGCGAUAUUGUAGUGAGGUGGGAAUAUCAAAAGAGGGUUAUUUCUUUUGAGUGUUGUAGUGGUCUUUGGAGUAUUUACCUCCGACCUACAAAGUGUAAAAUUCCUUACUAUAGUGAUAUAGUGGUCUUUGGAGUAUUUACCUCCGACCUACAAAGUGUAAAAUUCCUUACUAUAGUGAUAUCAGUUGCUCCUCUCGGGGUCGUGGUUUUUUUUCCCUUAUUCAGAAGGGUUUUCCACGUAAAAAUCUUGGUGUCAUUGUUACUCUUUUAUUCUUGUUAAUUACCGUAUCUCGGUGCUACAUUAUUAUUCCGCUUUAUUACCGUGAAUAUUAUUUUGGUAAGGGGUUUAUUCCCAACAACUGGUAUCAGAGCACGGGUUCUGCUCGUUCACUGAAAUACUAUUCACUGUCGGUAGUACUAUACUUGGUGAAAAAUAAAAAUGUCCGGAGUAAAGUACGAGGUAGCAAAAUUCAAUGGAGAUAACGGUUUCUCAACAUGGCAAAGAAGGAUGAGAGAUCUGCU